rnacentral:rRNA from 1 species
UACUAUAGCUUGACACUGAACAUUGAGCCUUGAUGUGUAGGAUAGGUGGGAGGCUUUGAAGUGUGGACGCCAGUCUGCAUGGAGCCGACCUUGAAAUACCACCCUUUAAUGUUUGAUGUUCUAACGUUGACCCGUAAUCCGGGUUGCGGACAGUGUCUGGUGGGUAGUUUGACUGGGGCGGUCUCCUCCUAAAGAGUAACGGAGGAGCACGAAGGUUGGCUAAUCCUGGUCGGACAUCAGGAGGUUAGUGCAAUGGCAUAAGCCAGCUUGACUGCGAGCGUGACGGCGCGAGCAGGUGCGAAAGCAGGUCAUAGUGAUCCGGUGGUUCUGAAUGGAAGGGCCAUCGCUCAACGGAUAAAAGGUACUCCGGGGAUAACAGGCUGAUACCGCCCAAGAGUUCAUAUCGACGGCGGUGUUUGGCACCUCGAUGUCGGCUCAUCACAUCCUGGGGCUGAAGUAGGUCCCAAGGGUAUGGCUGUUCGCCAUUUAAAGUGGUACGCGAGCUGGGUUUAGAACGUCGUGAGACAGUUCGGUCCCUAUCUGCCGUGGGCGCUGGAGAAUUGAGGGGGGCUGCUCCUAGUACGAGAGGACCGGAGUGGACGCAUCACUGGUGUUCGGGUUGUCAUGCCAAUGGCACUGCCCGGUAGCUAAAUGCGGAAGAGAUAAGUGCUGAAAGCAUCUAAGCACGAAACUUGCCCCGAGAUGAGUUCUCCCUGACUCCUUGAGAGUCCUGAAGGAACGUUGAAGACGACGACGUUGAUAGGCCGGGUGUGUAAGCGCAGCGAUGCGUUGAGCUAACCGGUACUAAUGAACCGUGAGGCUUAACCUUACAACGCCGAAGGUGUUU